GCUCUGGAAGCGCAGGUCGGUCU
rnacentral:piRNA from 1 species